CGGCUUCCUGCCCCCCGGGGCGUGUUUCUGAAGGAGGGAACAAGGCAGGGCAGUUGGUUGGUUAUUUUCUGUUUCACUCUCCCUAGGAACAGAUCAGAGGGAGGAGCUGUAUGUAUAUAACCCCCCUGCGCCAUAGAGGAGAGACCAGAACAGGACUGGAGCGGUGCGUGUCCCACACCCUGUGCGAUCGGAAUUAACCCUUUCCUCGCUGGGUCCUGCCGGGAGCUGGGGGGCUGCGGCUCAGGCAAACCUCGAACCCAGACCCCACGGGACGGGACGCCAGUGAAAAGAAACAGAAGAAGGACGAUUCAGUGACCUGGAGUUGAUUUGGGCAGCGCCUGCUAAGGCCUGGUUGACCCUGGGGAUAAAAGCCGUGUCAAGGGAGCUUUGAAACAGUUCAUUGGAACACAGCCCAGACCCAGCCUGGCUGGUCGGGGUAUUCGGGCAAAACACACCAUCCAAUUAUAUUGGAAAGGGGUUUUCACUGCUCAUCCCACGUAGCCAAACCGCACCUGAGCUGUAAUCGAGUGAGCUGCUUUGAAACUGUCCUUACGAAGGGCUCUGCCGGCACCGCCAGACCCACUGCGAACAGGCCUCAGUUACCGCUGGCUGCAGAAAGAUGGUUCGGAUGAACAAGUCGCCCGUUUUGGACUCCAUGAGUCUUUCAGAGAGAGAGAAGAUGUUGAACGGGUUGUAUCCUGCUGAGGAGAUGAAGCCAGAUCCAGACUUGGGUUCCCAGGAAACCCCAUUGAAACACAACAGAACAACUCAUGUGUCCAUCCCCCCACAGGGUGGAGAGAGCUGCACAAUCUGCCCUACAGGUUUGCUGUCUAAAUUUAAACCAUGGGUGGCAUGUAGCUGGACAGUUCUGAGUGCGGUUCUCAAUCUCAUACUGAUCCUCGUCAUCGCCCUGCCAGGUGAGUGUGGAGCCCGCACUGACCCCGUCUCUGCACCUCACAAUCCCCCCCCCAACUUCUCCCCCCUCAGCCCACCCCUGCUUCAACAGUCACAUCAGACUCUGCUGAGCCCGGGGCGUUUCUGUGGGGUCUCCCCCGCCCCCAGUGUCCAGCUCCCACUGGCUGUUGGCUCACUCUGCCCUGUCACCCCAACACCCCUGGUUACCCAGGGCCGUGAGUCACCGUGUCACCCCCCUGCCUGCAGCGGGGGGAGCUUCUGUUUCUCAGUUAGUGCAAUUACAUUAAUGCAGCAUCAAAGGCAGGUCC
rnacentral:lncRNA from 1 species